rnacentral:rRNA from 1 species
GAUGAACGCUAGCGGCAGGCUUAACACAUGCAAGUCGAGGGGCAGCGCGGGAUAGCAAUAUCCUGGCGGCGACCGGCGGAAGGGUGCGUAACGCGUGAGCGACAUGCCCGUUGCCCGGGGACAACCGGUGGAAACGCCGACUAAUCCCCGAUGGGAUACGAUGCUUCAUGGCAUUGUAUUGAAAGUUACGGCGGCGACGGAUUGGCUCGCGUCCGAUUAGCUGGUUGGCGGGGUAACGGCCCACCAAGGCUGCGAUCGGUAGGGGUUCUGAGAGGAAGGCCCCCCACGAUGGGACUGAGACACGGCCCAUACUCCUACGGGAGGCAGCGGUGAGGAAUAUUGGUCAAUGGGCGGAAGCCUGAACCAGCCAGGCCGAGUGCGGGAAGGAGGCCCUAUGGGCUGUGAACCGCUUUUGCCUGGGGGCAAUAAGGGCGUCGCGCACGUCCGAUGAGAGUACCAGGCGAAUAAGCAUCGGCUAACUCCGUG